UACGUAGGGUGCGAGCGUUGUCCGGAAUUAUUGGGCGUAAAGAGCUCGUAGGCGGUUUGUCGCGUCGGCCGUGAAAACUUGGGGCUUAACCCCAAGCCUGCGGUCGAUACGGGCAGACUUGAGUUCGGCAGGGGAGACUGGAAUUCCUGGUGUAGCGGUGAAAUGCGCAGAUAUCAGGAGGAAUACCGAUGGCGAAGGCAGGUCUCUGGGCUGACACUGACGCUCAUGCACGAAAGCGUGGGGAGCAAACAGG
rnacentral:rRNA from 1 species